rnacentral:rRNA from 1 species
AUGAUUUUGUUUAAUUUCUUAUUUUCCAACCAAACAGAGUGCAUCCAGUUAUACUGCAGCAGUGAUUUUUCAGAUCUCUCUACAUUUUUACUUUGUGAUUUGGACAACUUAGAGACAUAUAUAGACAUUGAUCUAGUAAUCAAGAAUGAUAUACCCUCUCACCACGUAUUCGUGUUCGGCUUCUACGUAUUUGCUGCACCACUAAGAGUAAUCCUAACCAACUUUGCCAACGUUACUGGGCUAACCAUCAACUUCUCCAAAACCACGCUUGCAACCCUACACACAGAUGACACCGUUGCUAACGACACCGCCCUUGCCAUGGGCUGCUCACGCGCCCCCUUCCCCCAAACCUACCUUGGCCUCCCUCUCUCCCCUACUAAGCCUCCAUCCAAUGCCUUCGAUCCCCUCCUAGAACGCUCCCGCAUGCUGCUGGCUGGUUGGCGUGCUAAGCUGCUUGACAAAGGUGAUUGCCUCAUUCUUAUCUCCGCAGUCCUCGACUCCCUCCUCACCUACUUCAUCCAAGGCCCUGACAUCCUCCUCCACCCCCUAGCUGGAAUGGUUGGAUCUUCAACACCCAAAUGCACUAGUCUCACCCCCACCCCAAAACUCCUUUCUCUGUCGUACCAUUGCGCAGCAAAUACCCACUCUACAGUCCAUCUCCUUCGUCCUAACAAACAGUGGGACCCACACUUAUUUCUGGCACGACACUUGGCUCACCCCAACACCUCUAGCUCACACUUUCCUCACCUGUUCUCACACUCCACUCUUCAGCUGGUUAAGCUGGCUAAUGUGCUGCGAUACGGUUUAGAAGCUAACCUCCUUAACCGUCUCUCCCUUCUGGCAGAGCAAGAGCUUGUUGCGUUGUUGGCUGUUUUGCAGGAUUUCGUUCCCUCGGCUGAGGAAGACCAAAGGUUUCUACUUCGGGGUCUUGCCUUCUCCACCAAGCAUGCGUACGGCACACUCAUGGCCUGGAUAGUGAUCCUCUUGCUCCCCUCAUUUGGCGCUCCAAGGGCCAACCUUGCCCACAAGCAGAUCAUCUCCACAGACAUAUGUCCUCGUUGUGCCAUGCUACCUGAGGACUCCAUGCAUCUCUUUCUCACCUGCCCCCUUGCCAACCGAGUCUGGCAGCGGGUAGGCAUCCUACCACAGGUGGAGGACAUCAUCGACCUUUGGGACACUCCAUUACCUCACCACCUGCCACACAAGACUUGGCCAAUUAUUCUCAUGUCUCUCCUUUGGAAGAUAUGGGCUGCGUGCAAUGACAUGUUGUUUAGAAACAUUGACCAACGUUCUGUAAUAACCCUCAGGGCUCUUAUCUUUGACCUAGACCUUUGGUCACAUCGUCUCAUGGCAACAUGUGACAAGGAGGACGUCUCCUCGUGGCGUUCCUACCUCUCUGCACGCUGCGCGCCCAAGAUUGUACCAUCAAUCAGAAAGAAUGCAAGAUUGUAUCUAUCCGAGCUAACUGCCCUCCCCCAACCCAACCACUCCAGCGAAAGCCUUCACCCUCCCCUGCCCCCCAUUAUAUAUUUCAAGCAAUCCUUCCUUUCUUUCACAAAAAGAACUCCCCAAAGCGACCACAUCCCAAAGCCAUGUGGUUCGGUUCACCACCAGGGCAUUGUUAUCUGA